CCCAGCGGGAUUUACAGUGUGCUGGGAGAGAAAAAAUAAAUCAUUCAUUCCAACUCGGGCAGAGAAUGGUGCCAGAACCUCCCCCGCAGAGCCAGGAAAUGUCCCUGUGCCUUGCAGAAGAGGUGGGCCCAGGGCACAGCUGCCGUGAGGAUGAGACAAUGUGUGUAAAGCCUCCAGAAGAUGCCAUGUGCACACAAGCGAGAGGGAGCACAAGCUGGAGAGAACAGUAGACAGAGAGAGAGGGAGAAGCAGGCUCCGCAACGAGCAGAGAGCCCAAUGCGGGGCUCCAUCCUAGGACCCCAGGAUCAUGACCUGAGCCAAAGGCAGACGCUUAACCUACUGAGCCACCCAGCCCAGCCCAGCCCAGCCAGAAGGAUGCUUACCUUGCCUGUGCUGAAGUAGAAGAGGACUCCAGCGGCCACCUGGACGAUGAGCAUGAGGAGGAGGAAGGCAAAGUACUGGAACACAGAGCAGCAUGGAGUCAGCUGCAUGGCCCCCGCAGGUGCCCCCAUCCCACUCACAGCUGUGCACGUUCCCACAGCUGGCCCAGGGUAGCAUAGGCCCCACUGGUGAACAGGGAACUCACCAGCCCCAGCAGGCAGCGGACCUCCUUGAUGGCACCGAUGCAGCCCAGGAAGCCCAUGAACAUGGUGACGGCACCCACACCGAUGAAGACACAGGCCCCCACCUUGAGGGAGUUGGAGGAGGUCUCUGGGGUGGAAAGAAGGGCAUUUGAUCAGCCAGGCACACCACCAGGAGCAGGGCCCCAAGGUCUGGGACCGCUCCCCUUGGAGUCAGAGCACUGGGGUCAGCCCCCCACCCCUGCCCCACCCACGGGGACCCUGCUCCCUCCCCCCGCAUCCCUCCUGUGGAUGUGUGCCCUCUCUCCCUUCCACCCCCAAUCUAUCCUAAUCCCCAGUCCUCUUAAUUUUCUCCUUGGUGUUUAGGAUUGCA